rnacentral:RNase_P_RNA from 1 species
GUAGCUCUCUGGUAGGUUGCAAGAGACUAGGUUCUCUUGAGGAAAGUCCGGACUCCAAAGGGCAGGGAGCUGUCGAAAGACAGGUGGGGGAAACCUCACGGAAAGGACCACAGAGAACAGACCGCCGUUUUUGGAUACAGACCUAAGGUAGAGAUACCAAGUGACUGUAUCUGAAAACGGUAAGGGUGAAACGGUAGGGUAAGAGCCUACCAGCAUAACCGGUGACGGUUAUGGCUAGGUAACCCCCUCCCGGAGCAAUCCCAAAUAGGAAGGCGCUUGAGGGUUGCCCGCCUGAUGCCUUCGGGUAGGGAGCUAAGAUAAAUGACCUACUUCAACAGAAUCCGGCUUAUAAGGGAGCUACGGCA